rnacentral:rRNA from 1 species
GAUGAACGCUGGCGGCGUGCUUAACACAUGCAAGUCGAACGAUGAAGCCCAGCUUGCUGGGUGGAUUAGUGGCGAACGGGUGAGUAACACGUGAGUAACCUGCCCUUAACUCUGGGAUAAGCCUGGUAAACUGGGUCUAAUACCGGAUAGGAGCGUCCACCGCAUGGUGGGUGUUGGAAAGAUUUAUCGGUUUUGGAUGGACUCGCGGCCUAUCAGCUUGUUGGUGAGGUAAUGGCUCACCAAGGCGACGACGGGUAGCCGGCCUGAGAGGGUGACCGGCCACACUGGGACUGAGACACGGCCCAGACUCCUACGGGAGGCAGCAGUGGGGAAUAUUGCACAAUGGGCGAAAGCCUGAUGCAGCGACGCCGCGUGAGGGAUGACGGCCUUCGGGUUGUAAACCUCUUUCAGUAGGGAAGAAGCGAAAGUGACGGUACCUGCAGAAGAAGCACCGGCUAACUACAUG